CCUACGGGUGGCAGCAGUGGGGGAUAUUGCACAAUGGGGGCAACCCUGAUGCAGCGACGCCGCGUGUGGGAAGAAGGUCCUCUGGUUUGUAAACCCCUGUCCCAAGGGACGAAGAUGACGGUACCUGGGGAGGAAGCUCCGGCUCACUACGUGCCAGCAGACGCGGUAAUACGUAGGGAGCGAGCGUUGUCCGGAAUUACUGGGUGUAAAGGGAGCGUAGGCGGGGAUGAAAGUUGGGUGUCAAAACUACCGGCUCAACUGGGAGUCGCACUCAAAACUGCAGCUCUUGAGUGAAGUAGAGGCAGGCGGAAUUCCUAGUGUAGCGGUGAAAUGCGUAGAUAUUAGGAGGAACACCAGUGGCGAAGGCGGCCUGCUGGGCUUUUACUGACGCUGAGGCUCGAAAGUGUGGGGAGCAAACAGGAUUAGAUACCCUUGUAGUC
rnacentral:rRNA from 1 species